rnacentral:rRNA from 1 species
AGCAUGUGGUUUAAUUCGACGCAACGCGAAGAACCUUACCUGGGUUUGACAUCCCGAUCGUACUCUAUGGAAACAUAGGGGUCAGUUCGGCUGGAUCGGUGACAGGUGCUGCAUGGCUGUUGUCAGCUCGUGUCGUGAGAUGUUGGGUUAAGUCCCGCAACGAGCGCAACCCUUGUCUUUAGUUGCCAUCAUUAAGUUGGGCACUCUAGAGAGACUGCCGGUGUCAAACCGGAGGAAGGUGGGGAUGACGUCAAGUCCUCAUGGCCUUUAUGACCAGGGCUACACACGUACUACAAUGGCAGGUACAAAGGGCAGCCACUUAGCGAUAAGGCGCGAAUCCCGUAAAACCUGUCUCAGUCCGGAUUGGAGUCUGCAACUCGACUCCAUGAAGUUGGAAUCGCUAGUAAUCGCGGAUCAGCACGCCGCGGUCGAAUACGUUCCCGGGCCUU